CUCUCUCUCUCUCCCCAGAACCCUACCCAUACCGACGGCGACGACGAUCGAGCGACAAUCUACACUGAAAAAGCCAUCGCCGAUCGACGAUCCGCGUUUUUUUUGGGAUUUGUACGCCCUCAGCCAGCCCUUUUUUGAGAAUCUCAUAUUAAAACCCUAACCCAUUGGCACUCUUUGACCUGAAAGAGGAUCGACGAUCGUGUUUGUUGUAAGAGAAACCAAUGGAAGAGAAGAGAGGUUCUACAGUGUGAAGAAGCUUACACACAGGAAAAAUAAGUUAGUGGGAGUAUAUCGGAAUUGGACAAGUAUUUGGGUGAUAUUGAGAAAGGUGGGAAAAAUGCUGAAUUUGAUAUCUUUGAGUGGUGGAAGGUUAAUGCAACAAAGUAUAGAGUAUUAUCACUUAUAGCAAGAGAUGUGUUGGCAAUGCCUAUCUCCACUAUUGCUUCUGAGUCGGCUUUAGUACGGGAGGUCGUAUACUUGAUCCAUUCCGUAGUUCACUUGCUCCCAAGAUGGUGGAGGUUCUUGUUUGUACACAAAAUUGGCUUCGAAGUAACAUUCGAAUAUGCUUUCGACAAUCAAUGGAUAAUGUUGAAGAAUUUGAACAACAAUAUGAUUCGGUUGUUUCGGAAUCAAGUUCAUGUUCAAGUCCAAGCCCAAGUCCGGAGAGUACUUAUAUUGAAGUUUAAUAUCAUUGGUUUGGCUCAUGGUUCAUGGUUUGGCUCAAAGAAAUCAAUGGCUUUAUUGUUUUUUUUUUAAGUUGUUUUGAAAAUAUGACUAUUAGUUGGUACUUUCUUUAGAUGACCGUAAUACUUUAUUUUGGAUGAUUGGAUUAAGAAGUUUUAAAUUUUUUGGAUGAUUGUAAUAUUAUAUUUUGGAUGAUUGUAAUAUUUUAUUUUGGAUGGUUGUAUGUUAAA